UCUCCGUAGGUGAACCUGCGGAGGGAUCAUUACAGAGUUCAUGCCCUCCGGGCAGAUCUCCCACCCAUUGCUAUAACUACUCUCGUUGCUUUGGCGGGCCGCUGGGCCCUGCCCGGCCGCCGGCCCCGGCUGGCGCGUGCCCGCCAGAGACCUCACAAACUCUGAAUGUUAGUGUCGUCCGAGUAACUAUACAAUCGUUAAAACUUUCAACAACGGAUCUCUUGGUUCUG
rnacentral:misc_RNA from 1 species